rnacentral:tRNA from 1 species
AUCUCUUGAGUAUGAUGUAGUACAUUUGCCUUCCAAGCAGAAAGAUUAAUAGAGUUUAAAAGAGAUA